CGGCGUGCCUAAUACAUGCAAGUAGAACGCUGACUACUUUAGCUUGCUAGAGUAGAAGGAGUUGCGAACGGGUGAGUAACGCGUAGGUAACCUGCCUACUAGCGGGGGAUAACUAUUGGAAACGAUAGCUAAUACCGCAUAACAGUGUUUAACACAUGUUAGAUGCUUGAAAGAUGCAAAUGCAUCACUAGUAGAUGGACCUGCGUUGUAUUAGCUAGUUGGUGGGGUAACGGCCUACCAAGGCGACGAUACAUAGCCGACCUGAGAGGGUGAUCGGCCACACUGGGACUGAGACACGGCCCAGACUCCUACGGGAGGCAGCAGUAGGGAAUCUUCGGCAAUGGGGGCAACCCUGACCGAGCAACGCCGCGUGAGUGAAGAAGGUUUUCGGAUCGUAAAGCUCUGUUGUAAGAGAAGAACGUGUGUGAGAGUGGAAAGUUCACACAGUGACGGUAACUUACCAGAAAGGGA
rnacentral:rRNA from 1 species